rnacentral:rRNA from 1 species
CCCUUAGAUGUUCUGGGCCGCACGCGCGCUACACUGAACAGUUCAACAAGUCUUAACCUUGGCCGAUAGGUCUGGGUAAUCUUUGAACGCUGUUCGUGAUUGGGAUAGACCUUUGCAAUUAUGGGUCUUCAACGAGGAAUUCCUAGUAAACGCAAGUCAUCAGCUUGCAUUGAUUACGUCCCUGCCCUUUGUACACACCGCCCGUUGCACCUACCGAUUGAAUGGUCCGGUGAAAUCUCGGGACGGCGGCUUGGUCGCUUGCGUCCGACUGCUGAAACUUGAUUAAACCAUAUCAUUUAGAGGAAGGUGAAGUCGUAACA